rnacentral:rRNA from 1 species
UACGGAAGGGGCAAGCGUUGUCCGGAAUCACUGGGCGUAAAGGGCGCGUAGGCGGUGCGAGAAGCGUGUGGUGAAAGGCCGGGGCUCAACCCCGGCUCGGCCGUGCGGACUCUCGCGCUUGGUGAGUGCUGUAGAGGCGGGCGGAAUUCCGGGUGUAGCGGUGGAAUGCGUAGAGAUCCGGAAGAACACCGGUGGCGAAGGCGGCCCGCUGGGCAGUGACUGACGCUGAGGCGCGACAGCGUGGGGAGCAAACAGG